UACGUAGGGGGCAAGCGUUGUCCGGAUUUAUUGGGCGUAAAGAGCGUGUAGGCGGCUUUACAGGUCCGUUGUGAAAACUCGAGGCUCAACCUCGAGACGUCGGCGGAAACCAUCUGGCUAGAGUCCGGAAGAGGAGAGUGGAAUUCCUGGUGUAGCGGUGAAAUGCGCAGAUAUCAGGAAGAACACCCGUGGCGAAGGCGGCCCUCUGGGACGGUACUGACGCUGAGACGCGAAAGCGUGGGGAGCGAACAGG
rnacentral:rRNA from 1 species